rnacentral:rRNA from 1 species
GACGAACGCUGGCGGCGUGCUUAACACAUGCAAGUCGAACGGAAAGGCCUCUUUCGGGGGGUACUCGAGUGGCGAACGGGUGAGUAACACGUGAGUAACCUGCCCUUGACUUUGGGAUAACUUCAGGAAACUGGGGCUAAUACCGGAUAGGAGCUCCUGCUGCAUGGUGGGGGUUGGAAAGUUUCGGCGGUUGGGGAUGGACUCGCGGCUUAUCAGCUUGUUGGUGGGGUAGUGGCUUACCAGGGCUUUGACGGGUAGCCGGCCUGAGAGGGUGACCGGCCACAUUGGGACUGAGAUACGGCCCAGACUCCUACGGGAGGCAGCAGGGGGGAAUAUUGCACAAUGGGUGGAAGCCGGAUGCAGCAACGCCGUGUGCGGGAUGACGGCCUUCGGGUUGUAAACCGCUUUCGCUCAUGACGAAGCUUUGUGUGACGGUAGUGGGUAAAGAAGCACCGGCUAACUACGUG